AAUUUUUUAGAGAUCAAAUCAAGAAGAUUAAAUGCUACCUCGAUGUUGAAUUAAGAAAACAUCUAAUAGAAGAAAAUUAGAUUAUAGGUCUGUUCGACCUUUAAAUUCUUACAUGAUUUGAGUUAAGACCGGUGUGAGCCAGGUUGGUUUCUAUCUUCAUAAUAGAAGUUUUUAUAGUACGAAAGGACCUAAAAACUUAAUUUUAUUAAUUAAUUAGCUUAUAAAAAGCAAGUAUUUUGAAAAUACUAGAAAGAUUUAAGAAUUUAUUAAUUUUAUGU
rnacentral:misc_RNA from 1 species